rnacentral:pre_miRNA from 1 species
AAGGUCGUCUUACCUAGCAGCAUUGGACGUUGAUCUGACGAGCGAGUCUCUAAUACUGUCAGGUAAAGAUGUCUUU